rnacentral:rRNA from 1 species
UACGUAGGGUGCGAGCGUUAAUCGGAAUUACUGGGCGUAAAGCGUGCGCAGGCGGUUAUGUAAGACAGUUGUGAAAUCCCCGGGCUCAACCUGGGAACUGCAUCUGUGACUGCAUAGCUAGAGUACGGUAGAGGGGGAUGGAAUUCCGCGUGUAGCAGUGAAAUGCGUAGAUAUGCGGAGGAACACCGAUGGCGAAGGCAAUCCCCUGGACCUGUACUGACGCUCAUGCACGAAAGCGUGGGGAG